GACGAACGCUGGCGGCGUGCUUAACACAUGCAAGUCGAACGAAGAGCGAUGGAAGCUUGCUUCUAUCAAUCUUAGUGGCGAACGGGUGAGUAACGCGUAAUCAACCUGCCCUUCAGAGGGGGACAACAGUUGGAAACGACUGCUAAUACCGCAUACGAUCUAAUCUCGGCAUCGAGGAAAGAUGAAAGGUGGCCUCUAUUUAUAAGCUAUCACUGAAGGAGGGGAUUGCGUCUGAUUAGCUAGUUGGAGGGGUAACGGCCCACCAAGGCGAUGAUCAGUAGCCGGUCUGAGAGGAUGAACGGCCACAUUGGGACUGAGACACGGCCCAGACUCCUACGGGAGGCAGCAGUGGGGAAUCUUCCGCAAUGGACGAAAGUCUGACGGAGCAACGCCGCGUGAGUGAUGACGGCCUUCGGGUUGUAAAGCUCUGUUAAUCGGGACGAAAGGCCUUCUUGCGAACAGUUAGAAG
rnacentral:rRNA from 1 species